UAGGGAAUCUUCGGCAAUGGACGAAAGCCUGACCGAGCAACGCCGCGUGAGUGAAGAAGGCUUUCGGAUCGUAAAACUCUGUUGUUAGAGAAGAACAAGGACGUUAGUAACUGAACGUCCCCUGACGGUAUCUAACCAGAAAGCCACGUCUAACUACGUGCCAGCAGCCGCGGUAAUACGUAGGUGGCAAGCGUUGUCCGGAAUUAUUGGGCGUAAAGCGAGCGCAGGCGGUUUCUUAAGUCUGAUGUGAAAGCCCCCGGCUCAACCGGGGAAGGGCAUUGGAAACUGGGAGACUUGAGUGCGGAAGAGGAGAGUGGAAUUCCAUGUGUAGCGGUGAAAUGCGUAGAUAUAUGGAGGAACACCAGUGGCGAAGGCGGCUCACUGGUCUGUAACUGACGCUGAGGCGCGAAAGCGUGGGGAGCAAACAGG
rnacentral:rRNA from 1 species